GCCACGCCCCAUCCCUCCACCGCCGCGCCCCCAUCCCUCUGCUAGCCGCCUCAACCCCUCCCUCCACCGCCGUGCCCCCGGUCCAUCCUCUCCUCGGUGCCCGUCCUCGCUCCGCCGUCGCCGAAUCUGGAAGAGAUCGGAAGAAUCCGCCGCAUCUCGCGUAGCUGCUUGUCGGCCAUGCGGGGAGGACGAACGAGCUGCUCAUCGGACAUGCAGGGAGCACGGACGAGCUGGUCAUCGGCGUCUGUCCCACAGCCGCGCUCAUGACAGCGCCCAGCGCACUCCUCCUACUUGGCGCCCAGUAUACCUCCCCUACUCACCGGCCUCCUGGAUCCCACUCCCCCUACCAUAACAUUCUGAUUUCGAGGCAAACAUAGUGUUUGAUGGAAUUUGACUAUAGAAUUGUUUUCUGUACUGCUAUCGCGCUACGUCGUCAAUUCAGGGUGUGUAGAAGAUGUUGUCCUGGGUCUGUAGAGGAUGUGGUGUGUGGCUGCUUGUGUGUAUGCAUGUAUGUCGACCGUGAGUAGGCGGCAAGUAUACUGCGAUACAGGGGCAUGAAGCAAGCGAGCAGGUGUGCGCGGCGACCUGCUACUGCACUAAUAGUAGCCUUGACGGAGCACUGGGGCCGGCUCAACAGGGCAUGCCGCCCGCCGGUAGACGCCUGGUUGUGUAAGAUGGAGAUGAACCCCGCGUCGUCGCCUCUGCAGCCUGGACAGAGCUCCGCCGGUGCUGGUGAUGAACCCCGCAUCUGUGAUCGUGAUGACGCUCUCCAUCUACUUUCUCUAGUGGCUAUAAGGGAGUAAAGAUCACAUCGUGGAUGUGUUUUUCUUCAGAGAUAUGGCCCUAUCGUUGUUGGCUGUCGAAUUUGCGAUGUAAUCCGUCCCUAUAUCGGUGUAUUAACCACUUCGCCCUCCCGCACAAUGAGCAGAACAGAGCACGGCUGCAAUUUACCCAUUGACUUCUUGGAGUGAUUCAAACCUAGGAAGCCUGCUACUUGUGCAAGCAACAGGGUAACAAGUUUCUGUUUUCUUACUGAUGCACCUCAAUUUGCAAGGUUAGAACAAUGUCAGUUUACUUUAUGUUGGUUUUCUAAUUUCUACAUAUUCCCUCGAGCAAAUCUAAUUAUCUAGGUAGUACGGAAAGCAGGCAAAUUAUGUAACUAUUUGGGUGUACUCAUGCUCUGCUAUGUCAGAUUGAGGGGAAAGAAUUAUUUUCUUCACCAUCCUAUUUUUAUCUAUAUAUAAUGAUGAUCACUUUUUCCAUCUUGUGAUCUUCUUUGCUCUAGUUGUGCGAAUACUUUGUUUGCCCUUUAGUGGGACUGAAAUUUUCUUGCUACCAUGAGUCAUGGUGGCUGCUGUGGCAAAAAAUUGGUAAGCCCCCUAAGGGAAGAAAAUUGAAAAAAGUCUCAUCCUUCUUACCAUGUUUUAUGUUAAAUUUUUUGCUUGAAUUUUUUUCUGUAUAACCUAUAUCUCUUCAUGGUUACUUUCUCCAGACAUGCUUUAGCUGCAGCAUUGGUCAAGUGGCUUGAACACAACUCACAUGAGUCAUCGCCAAAUGGCCCUUUUCUAAAAUUCGUUCCCUUAUGCACUGAGAGAGGAGUUACUCCAUGACAGUAUGUAUACAUACAGAUGCAACCAAUGGAGAAACUCAUGCAGAUGAUGACUGAAGAUUUUUUCAUGAAUUUUCCAACCUGAAUUGGCUACAGAGGUUGGGAAAAAAGGAGUUCAGGCUCUGAUGAACACAUGUUCUUUCGCAGAAACCAAUUCAACUAGACCAGGACUAUGUUUACUAGUCCUCCAGUGUUUGUUGGAAUGAGAUGACAUAUGGUAUGCCAGCUAACAAGCAACUGAAGCAAGAAGAUUUUUGUAAUUUGUUGGAAAGAAUGAGCCAAUAAACCCAGGAUGGCGAAGGAUCCAAUAUGUCAGGACCAAUGAGGGCAUUGCAGAGCUUCAUAUUCAGUUUAUUUUAGGUGCUUACCUACUUCAAGUGUCUAGAUUACAGGAAACAUGUUUCUUCAAGUGUCUACUUCAAGUAAGUUUCUUAUAGAAGUAGUCAGUUUGAUUCCAUCAAAAUAGUUGUUGUCUGAUAAUUUGUGUAUGACUAAAACAGAGUAAUUCUGUAAAUCCUAACAUAACUCUAUCAGUCUGAACCAAUUUCUUGUAAAUCUACAAUACAACAUAGCCUCAUCUGAUCGAAUCAUUGGUUUCACAUCAAUACAUCCUUGUGCAUUCCCAUAAGAUCAAUAAAAUUCAGUUUGAUUGUGUCAAAAA